rnacentral:lncRNA from 1 species
ACUGUCAACCGUGAUCAGAUCAUCCGAAUCGUGCUCAACUCAAACAGUCCUGUGACUCCUCACAAGGACUAUCCUGACCAAGGUUUUGCUAAAUUGAAAUAUGACUGUACACAGCUCCUAAACUGGAGUGGUCAAUCCCAUCUUGACACACGCACCGACAAGUCAAGUACUUGACUACACCCAGCAGCCUUCCGUCACUGAAUUAAAAAUUCAGGUAGUCCAGUG